AAUCGAAACCAUCUUAUCGCUCGGUUGAAAAGAGUAAAAUCUAAUCAACAGGGAGGAAAGUCCGGACAGCAUAGAGUACCGUACUUCCUAACGGGAAGGCAGCAAGUGGGCGACUACUGGCUGACAGACAGGGCCACAGAAAAUAAACCGCCCUUCAACAAAACACCAACCAGUGUGGCGUUGAAAGGUAAGGGUGAAACGGUAGAGUAAGAGCCUACCGCUCAGCUGGCGACAGUUGAGGCACGGUAAACCUUACGGGCUGAAAGACCAAAUAGGCGUUGCGCGUGGAGCGGCUCGUUCCCAGUAUUUGGAGCAAUCCAAAAAAAAGCAACGUGGGUAGGUUGAUAGAGGCAGCGGGCAACCGCCGUCCCAGAGAAAUGAUAAGAACCUUGACGCAAGUUGAGGUACAGAAUCCGGCUUAUCGGUUUCGAUUUGCU
rnacentral:RNase_P_RNA from 3 species